GUUUAGGGGGUUUGGUGGCCAAGGAGAGGAGAACAGCAGAGUCUUCUACAUGCAACAGCAAUGUCCCACUGGUGUGGUGCAGCUCCACUGCAAGAGGCUGUGCUGAGUUUUCACCAAAUGUCUGGUUCAUUAGCCAAGCUCCCAGUGGCAAUUAUGAGAUUCCAGAGCAAGAUCAGCUUUUCUCUGCUGGUCCCCCUGCAGGAGCUAUCUUCUUAGACUGCUUCUUGAAUUGUCUUUUUUCUGGGGUUUGAAAGACUGCAGCUUGAGUCCAGAUACCACAUGCCGAGAAGAAAGGAACCCAAACAGCUGACGCAGAGUUCAGACUAAACUAACUGCAAGCUCCCCAGGGACAUCACAAGGUAUGGUAUUUUUGAACCGCUCACAGCAAGCUGUUGUUGUUCCUCUGUGUGUUGGUAAAUAGUAGCUGCAGACUUUCACCUUGGGAGAGGCACAGUCUGAGCAAACAGUGAACUGCGGGGAUGGACCAGGCACAGAAUUCCAGAGUAGGGUUUGGGGACAGACUGGUUCACUGGGGUUUUUCCCAGCAGGUAGCUGAAUAUGCACGGUCCAAGUAGAAUUGCUUUGCUAAGACCAGCCACCAAAGCCACAAUUCCUACUCCUUUUGCUGGAUGGAAGAGGCUCAGAAGGGUGGGAAGGAAGUCCUGAAGCAGAAAAGCUUCAUCUACUACAGAUUAGCUCUGUUGAUAUUGCAAAGGCUCUGGCUCAGUUACUGAUCACCUUACACAUCUGAAAGCCAGCAAAGAGAAACCCCUCUGCAUAUUUCUCCGCUGUUGCAGCCUCCGUCCAUCCCAGCCCAUUUCAGUUUAAGGGUAUCAGCAUUCAAAAAGGCAAUCCACAGCCUCUACCACAGUGAGCCUGGGAGUAGAAAAAUGACCAGUUCCUUCUCCAAACACCGGCUGGGAUUUCAAAGGAGCCUGAGGGGAUUGCACACGCAUCUCACUUUGAAAUUUAAGCUGUGGAUCCUGACAGAAUAGGUCGAUUCCAGAGCUUCACACCCUGAGGGGACAGCU